rnacentral:tRNA from 1 species
AGUUACAUGGUGUAACGGUGAGCACUCUGGCCUCUGAAUCCAGCAAUCUGAGUUCAAAUCUCAGUGGGACCU